CCCUGCAUUCGAAAGUGAUCUUGGCCACCAGUGUCCCAGUCAUUAGUAGUGUUGGGAAAGGAUGCUGAAAGAUGUGUUCCCUGAGUUUGGGGUCUUCUGUCCUGACCCCUCCAAAGCCUGGAACUUUCCUAUC
ensembl:snoRNA SNORA71 Small nucleolar RNA SNORA71